rnacentral:rRNA from 1 species
UGGGGAAUAUUGCACAAUGGGGGAAACCCUGAUGCAGCGACGCCGCGUGAACGAAGAAGGUAUUCGUAUCGUAAAGUUCUGUCCUAUGGGAAGAUAAUGACAGUACCAUAGAAGAAAGCUCCGGCUAAAUACGUGCCAGCAGCCGCGGUAAUACGUAUGGAGCGAGCGUUGUCCGGAAUUAUUGGGCGUAAAGGGUACGCAGGCGGUUUAAUAAGUCGAAUGUUAAAGAUCGGGGCUCAACCCCGCAAAGCAUUGGAAACUGAUAAACUUGAGUAGUGGAGAGGAAAGUAGAAUUCCUAGUGUAGUGGUGAGAUACGUAGAUAUUAGGAGGAAUACCAGUAGCGAGGGCGACUUUCUGGACACAAACUGACGCUGAGGUACGAAAGCGUGGGGAGCAAACAGG